UGGGGAAUUUUGGACAAUGGGCGAAAGCCUGAUCCAGCAAUGCCGCGUGUGUGAAGAAGGCCUUCGGGUUGUAAAGCACUUUUGUCCGGAAAGAAAUCCUUGGCUCUAAUACAGUCGGGGGAUGACGGUACCGGAAGAAUAAGCACCGGCUAACUACGUGCCAGCAGCCGCGGUAAUACGUAGGGUGCAAGCGUUAAUCGGAAUUACUGGGCGUAAAGCGUGCGCAGGCGGUUUGCUAAGACCGAUGUGAAAUCCCCGGGCUCAACUGGGAACUGCAUUGGUGACUGGCAGGCUAGAGUAUGGCAGGAGGGGGGUAGAAUUCCACGUGUAGCAGUGAAAUGCGUAGAGAUGUGGAGGAAUACCGAUGGCGAAGGCAGCCCCCUGGGCCAAUACUGACGCUCAUGCACGAAAGCGUGGGGAGCAAACAGGAUUAGAUACCCUGGUAGUCCACGCCCUAAACGAUGUCAACUAGUUGUUGGGGAUUCAUUUCCUUAGUAACGUAGCUAACGCGUGAAGUUGACCGCCUGGGGAGUACGGUCGCAAGAUUAAAACUCAAAUGAAUUGACGGGGUCAUAGCUG
rnacentral:rRNA from 1 species